UACGGAGGGUGCAAGCGUUGUCCGGAUUUAUUGGGUUUAAAGGGUGCGUAGGCGGCCGAUUAAGUCUGGGGUGAAAGCCCGUUGCUCAACAACGGAACUGCCCUGGAAACUGGUCGGCUUGAGUACAGACGAGGGUGGCGGAAUGGAUGGUGUAGCGGUGAAAUGCGUAGAGAUCAGGAAGAACAUCGGUGGCGAAGGCGCUCUGCUGGACCAUAACUGACACUCAGGGACGAAAGCUAGGGGAGCGAAUGGG
rnacentral:rRNA from 1 species